GUUUCUGGUUUUCGGGUUUCUGGAUCAAUCUCUCGCUCUCUCUCCUUCUCUCAACCCCCGUCUCCUCUCUCUCACCAACUUCAUCCUUGAUUUCUUCACUAUCCACCAUGCCUCCAUAUCCAUAGUACCUAUUGGUACUCCUCCACGACCAGCCGAUCCGGACACCAACACCAACAUCGACGACGCCGCCGCAGCCGUCGAUUUCGAAGACGACAAGGAUCACCAUCCCCAAAACGACGCCGUUGUUUUCCCACGUGCAGCUGCUCCCCAACGGCGAAUUAUGAACCAGGGGCAGAGGGGAGUGUCGCCGGGAGGCUCGGAGAAGGCGGCGGAGACAAGAUCAGAGACGACGAAGCAAUGUUCUAAUCGAUCUGUCUGGGCUUUUACUUUCUGGGUUUUCAAUCAAUCUCUCUCAUGAACAUCUCCAUUACUUUCUGGGUUUUCAAUCGGAGAACCUCAAACUCUUGGUUGCUCUCUUCCUCAAGCAGCAAAGCAAAAACUCUUGGUUAUUUUCUGGGAUCAGAUUUUAAAAUGGCUUUGCCAAGAGAAAGAAGGUGGCAACUGCCAAGAAGAAGAAAUCUACCAAAGAGUUGGAUGCGGCUGCAAAAGCUGCUGCUCAAGAGGCUGCUUCCAGGAGGCUCUGCGGUAAAAGCCCAGUUUUGUUCAACAUGUUAAAUAUGAGCAUGUAAUUUACCAUUGUUCAUAUGGCCAAGUUGUGCGAAAUAAAGAGUGGGUUUUGGGUCUGGUUUUGUUAAAGAUGACCCUAAUUGUAUUGCGGUCGGUUGACUACAGGAAGUUUCACUUGAGCUUUUUUGUUUA